AGAGUUUGAUCCUGGUUCAGAUUGAACGCUGGCGGCAUGCUUUACACAUGCAAGUCGAACGGCAGCACAGGGAGCUUGCUCCCGGGUGGCGAGUGGCGCACGGGUGAGUAAUACAUCGGAACGUGUCCUGUUGUGGGGGAUAACUGCUCGAAAGGGUGGCUAAUACCGCAUGAGACCUGAGGGUGAAAGCGGGGGAUCGCAAGACCUCGCGCAAUUGGAGCGGCCGAUGCCCGAUUAGCUAGUUGGUGAGGUAAAGGCUCACCAAGGCGACGAUCGGUAGCUGGUCUGAGAGGACGACCAGCCACACUGGGACUGAGACACGGCCCAGACUCCUACGGGAGGCAUCA
rnacentral:rRNA from 1 species